GGACAGCUAAGGAGCUCCUCAUGCCAGGCCAAGUGGUACUUGCUGCGCUCAUUUACAUCCAAACUAUAUGCCUCGGUCGUGAAGAAAUAUUUCAUAGCGCGACUGAAGCACCGAUGCUCGUCCCUUGUCCGGGGGCGCCCGAAAGAAAGAAAGUAUCUGCUCAGCACGCUUUUCACGUCCCAUGGCGGUUUGCUCUUUCGUGAUUCUCC
rnacentral:lncRNA from 1 species